GCCCUGGUAGUCCAACCGGCAGGAGACGGCGCCCUCAAAAGGCGCGCAGUGCGGGUUCGAGUCCCGCCCGGGGCA
rnacentral:tRNA from 2 species